UUGCCCAAUGAUUAUAGCAAGACGCGUUAUUAUGAGGACUAAUGCUGGAACUCUUUCUUCUACUUCUCCUCUUCUUCCUCCUACCUUGUCCCUUCCUCUUUUACCUUACCCCUCACUUUCCUUAGGGUAUCCAGCGUCCCAUGAGCAAGACUGAGAUAUGAGGGCAA
ensembl:snoRNA small nucleolar RNA, C/D box 97